GGCUUGUCCCCUCUGCCGGGCCCCAUUGGAGUACUACAUCAGCAAGAGGAAUAGCAGAGUCAAACUUGUCUUCUUCUCUUAGUUCCCGUCGUUAAAUUUAAAUGUUUAUGGUUUAUGUUGUUCGUUGUUGCACGUUUAAAUUAUUUAAUUUUCUCCAAACUUCUAUAUAUAUUCGAAUCAAAAGUAACACAUUGGAAGCCAGGAUUUAAAUCAAUAGCAUAAAGUGCAGUGCUAUUAACUCCCAAGUUACCCAAAAACAGGGGAAUUCCGAUCAAGUUACUUGACUGCG